GUGGACUACAUAGGUAAUAGGGAGCCAUUUGGGGUGCAGAAUGUGCCGUCUGGUGUCAGUGCUACCCAUUCUAACUUGUCCAUAAUACUGAAUAACCUUUGUACACCGAGGUGUGAUGCCUGCUGUGAACCAGAGGGGGGCGUUGUUUCAUUCUUCCAUACUUCCAUUCUGACAGAAAGCUUCUGGGCCUCGUUUAUAAAACGGACUUCCGAUCAAUUUUGAUCUUAAGUAUAACUUACCCAGAAAACCACAUAUAAGUAGUUAUUUAUAAAAAACCUUAGUCUGACACGGAAAUGAUCUUAUCUCUACUCAGAGUCUAGACUUGACGUAAGUGAUUUUCCCUGCGGGUUAUAAAUGACUAUAUUUUCCCCUUGCAGUUUAAGAUCAGACCAUUUUAUUUUUCACAUCAGCCACAGUUCUGUCUUGCUGUCCCGCCUCGUUCACUGCAGCGGUGACACACUCCCAAGAUACCUGUUUCUGGCUUUUGUUUGACAACCCACUAUUUAGUCCCACAGAAUAAUACACAUUGCCUGUCUUCAAUCUCCUCCUACCAUCGCCGUGAUCUCGUCUUUCGGACCGUGGCUAUUCCUGUCUAAACCCUCGUUUGUGCUAUCAUUCUAUAAGGGGAAAUCGCUGCUUUGUAAGGCACAUUUCAGGUGUCGUUAAUUAGAGAUUUAUUUAGACGACAGGUGCCGUAAAUUACAAAUGGGCCUCUUAGAAGCUGCCUAAGCAAGGUUUUUCAUGCUCAGUGUGCUUCAUGCUUGAAACGUAAGCACACCGUUGGAGAUUAUUUUACGACCAGUUUCCAAAUGACUUGCCAAUUUCCUGCUUCAACGGGUUAUAACAAAACCAUUUUAGUCCAUUAGCUUGGAGAAAACAUUGGGGAAAUAACUUGUGAUUUCUGAAAUGAUAAGGAUGCCCACAAGUCUCUCCAAGCCGCACGUAAGCGCUUGUAAAUCCUAUUGAUGGUAUCAAACAACUUCUGAACUGUGGGCUUAAGCCUCACCACCGAUGCUGUCAUACAACACAGGAACCGAUAAACAAUCUGCAUUCCACUCUCCUCACACCAAUGAUGCUCUACAAUUUAUAUUCUGUUUUUGCUGUAGUCAAUGAUUUGUCUAUGAAGGUGUGGAAAAGUUUUUAAUUUAAAUUUUUUUUAAAGAUUCUCCACACUAACUUAGAAUGUGAUGUACAUCUCAAUAAGGCCUUGGGCAAAC
ensembl:lncRNA